GGCUACACACGUGCUACAAUGGGUAGUACAGAGAGUCGCAAAGCCGCGAGGUGGAGCUAAUCUCAGAAAACUAUUCUUAGUUCGGAUUGUACUCUGCAACUCGAGUACAUGAAGUUGGAAUCGCUAGUAAUCGCGAAUCAGCAAUGUCGCGGUGAAUACGUUCUCGGGUCUUGUACACACCGCCCGUCACACCACGAGAGUUGGUUGCACCUGAAGUAGCAGGCCUAACCGCAAGGAGGGAUGCUCCGAGGGUGUGAUUAGCGAUUGGGGUGAAGCCGUAACAAGGUAUCCGUACGGGAACGU
rnacentral:rRNA from 1 species